UACGGGGGGGAGCAAGCGUUGUUCGGAUUUACUGGGCGUAAAGGGCGCGUAGGCGGCCACCGCAAGUCGACUGUGAAAUCUCUGGGCUUAACCCAGAACGGUCAGCCGAUACUGCGGGGCUAGAGUGCAGAAGGGGCAACUGGAAUUCUCGGUGUAGCGGUGAAAUGCGUAGAUAUCGAGAGGAACACCUGCGGCGAAGGCGGUUCUCUGGGACGGUACUGACGCUGAGACGCGAAAGCGUGGGGAGCGAACAGG
rnacentral:rRNA from 1 species